GGUAAUACGAAGGGUGCAAGCGUUACUCGGAAUUACUGGGCGUAAAGCGUGCGUAGGUGGUUGUUUAAGUCUGUUGUGAAAGCCCUGGGCUCAACCUGGGAAUUGCAGUGGAUACUGGGCGACUAGAGUGUGGUAGAGGGUAGUGGAAUUCCCGGUGUAGCAGUGAAAUGCGUAGAGAUCGGGAGGAACAUCCAUGGCGAAGGCAGCUACCUGAACCAACACUGACACUGAGGCACGAAAGCGUGGGGAGCAAACAGG
rnacentral:rRNA from 1 species